rnacentral:snoRNA from 1 species
UACUCCUGUUUCUGCCCCGGAGUUUCGUCCCAUAAGCUACUGGGUUCUGGUGAUGGAGAAGAUCAAGCUGGCAAUUAUUCCAUACGAUUUGAUACUUCUGUGGAAAUAAUCGUCGGAUCGUGAAGACAGUUUGAAUCUGGCCAGGACACUGCUGGUCAGAUAUAGAGCUCUUCUACAUUU